rnacentral:rRNA from 1 species
CCCUUAGAUGUCCUGGGCCGCACGCGCGCUACACUGAUGCAUGCAACGAGUUUAUAACCUUGGCCUGAAAGGUCUGGGUAAUCUUUUGAACGUGCAUCGUGAUAGGGAUAGAUUAUUGCAAUUGUUAAUCUUGAACGAGGAAUUCCUAGUAAACGCGAGUCAUCAGCUCGCAUUGAUCACGUCCCUGCCCUUUGUACACACCGCCCGUCGCACCUACCGAUUGAAUGGUUCGGUGAAGAUCUCGGACUUCGAUAUUUAUUCUUUAUUGAGUUUAUAUUGUGGGAAGUUAUCUAAACCUCAUCAUUUAGAGGAAGGUGAAGUCGUAACA